UCCUACGGGAGGCAGCAGUGGGGAAUUUUGCGCAAUGGGGGAAACCCUGACGCAGCAACGCCGCGUGGAGGAUGAAGUCCCUUGGGACGUAAACUCCUUUCGACCGGGACGAUAAUGACGGUACCGGUGGAAGAAGCCCCGGCUAACUUCGUGCCAGCAGCCGCGGUA
rnacentral:rRNA from 1 species